rnacentral:rRNA from 1 species
CGCGCAGGCGGUUGAUUAAGUCGAAUGUGAAAGCCCCCGGCUCAACUGGGGAGGGUCAUUCGAUACUGAUCGACUUGAAGGCAGGAGAGGGAAGUGGAAUUCCGGGUGUAGUGGUGAAAUGCGUAGAUAUCCGGAGGAACACCAGUGGCGAAGGCGACUUCCUGGCCUGUUCUUGACGCUGAGGCGCGAAAGCUGGGGAGCAAACG